AGGGUUUGAUCAUGGCUCAGAUUGAACGCUGGCGGCAUGCUUUACACAUGCAAGUCGGACGGCAGCAUAAAAGAGCUUGCUCUUUUGAUGGCGAGUGGCGAACGGGUGAGUAAUGCAUCGGAACGUACCGAGUAGUGGGGGAUAACUGUCCGAAAGGAUGGCUAAUACCGCAUAUUCUCUGAGGAGGAAAGCAGGGGACCUUAGGGCCUUGCGCUAUUUGAGCGGCCGAUGUCUGAUUAGCUAGUUGGUGGGGUAAGAGCCCACCAAGGCGACGAUCAGUAGCGGGUCUGAGAGGAUGAUCCGCCACACUGGGACUGAGACACGGCCCAGACUCCUACGGGAGGCAGCAGUGGGGAAUUUUGGACAAUGGGCGCAAGCCUGAUCCAGCCAUGCCGCGUGUAUGAAGAAGGCCUUCGGGCUGUAAAGUACUUUUGUCAGGGAAGAAAAGCCUGAGGAUAACACCCUCAGGUCAUGACGGUACCUGAAGAAUAAGCACCGGCUAACUACGUGCCAGCCGCCGCGGUAAUAC
rnacentral:rRNA from 1 species